UGGUGGAGUGAUUUGUCUGGUUAAUUCCGUUAACGAACGAGACCUCGACCUGCUAAAUAGUAUGACGAAUCCUGGAUUCGGACGUGCUUCUUAGAGGGACUAUCGGUGUGUAGCCGAUGGAAGUUCGAGGCAAUAACA
rnacentral:rRNA from 1 species